AAAAAGAUAUCUAUAAGAAGUAAUCCAAAAAUAGAAAGUCAAAGAGAGAGAUAACAUACAAAUGUCGAGAUAUUCUCGAUUGUGCCUCUGUGUUCAUCGCCCAUAGUCAACAAAUACAUGAUUUGAAUUUGCAAAGCUUGAGUUUGGUAGAUGAAAGAAGUAUGGUAGAAGAAAAUACUUGAGUAUAGAUGAAGAUGAUUUAAUAUUGUUGAUAUGAGAGACUAUUUAUAGAUG
rnacentral:lncRNA from 1 species